AAGAAACAGUGGCUAUUGGGAAAUUGAAAUUCACCAAUUCAAUUGGGGGAUCAAUCACAAUUUUUCCGAUGUAGUAGGUACAACAUGUUUCCUGUAAUUUUCUUAGCUAUUUUUGUAGGUAUUAUAAGUUUUACAAAUGCUGUUCCUCAAGAGAAACGUAUUGAGCUGACAGUUGUCAUAUGCCUAACUCUUGCAUUUGUGGUGUUAAUAAUUGCAGUAUAUUAUUGGUGCAGAAGUAUCAAUUGUAGAAAAAGAAGGGGCGGAAACGGAGACGAAGAAAACCAAAAUAAAGGAAAUGUAAAUCAAAACCAGGAAACCCAACCUCCUAGAUAUUAAAAUGGUCCUUAUACAUAUAUUGUAUGCUUUAUUUCUAUAAUGAACUAAUAAAAAUUUGCUCAAAAUCA